AAUAUCAAUUAUAAUUUAUGUUACGAAUAUACUACGAUAUUAAGAAUGUGACAUGCUAAAUUCAACGCAUCAUGCAGAUUAUUGAUGGAGAGAACUUCGACAAACUUUUAACUAGACAAAGAAGCAGAUCUUGCUUGUGUUUUAUUACUCGACAGUGUGGACCAUCAACAUCAACUCCUUACAAAAGACCUGGAAACCUUAUCUAGCAUAGCUUCGUCCAUUGACUCACUAUCAGACAGAGAUCAGUGUUUUCAGGAGCCUGGAAUAAACACGUUUCUAUGGCAGAAAGUGAUGCAGCUCUUACACGUCAGUGUUGUGUAGUUUUUCCCAAGAUGAGCUUCCAUGAUGAGUCCACCAUUACUGUGAAUGGAGAUGCCAGUGAUCUUCAGAACUGUGAUUGAUUGCAAAGACCCAGAUGAUUCAACAUGAGGAAUAGACAGUGAUGACAGCACUUCUGACGAGGACUUUGUCCCCUCUAUCUGUCUUUGGUUUGUCUGCAAGUAUCAUGUUGUUUUGGCUUGAUAAAAGCAGACAUAUUAUGUAAAACCAGAAUUAUAAACUGUCAGAAUAAUAAAAUGACUGACUAUUGUUGUUUUUUACUUCUAGGCCCACUCAUUGUCAUUACACCUAUUUUAGAUCAAAUUAAAAUGAUAGUAAUAAACAGCACAUGCUAAUAUUAAUUGUCGUAAAUGUUUUGUUAUAGUUUUAUUUAAUAUAUAUCCAGAACAGGUGAAGCUGCCCGUCUUCCCCUUGUAGACCUUCCCCGUCUACUUGCUGGUCUUCAUCUUGCUGCAUGUCCCGUCCCUUUGGCUCUUCCUGUCCCUUUUUCCUUUUACUUGUGUCUGCACCUUUAGCUCUUCCCCGUGAUGCUUCAUGCCAGCUGCUCUGAAAAGGGCACCAGAUCUCGUCAGCUUUUAACAUGGAUAAGUCCAGUAAAGAGCUAUCGGUGUCUCCCUGCAACAUAGUCAAAUGUCAUCAAAACAAAUACAAUUGUUUAUAUACACAGAUAUCACCUUAUAGCUGACAUACAUAGGUGUAUUUACUUGAAAAACUAAGUGUUUUUAAUAUUACAUAACUAUUUAGAGUGCAUAAUCUUGGAUAAUAAUAAAGUUGCAAUUCAUUAUGCUUUAUUGUAUAUAUUAAAAAUGUUGUUUUCUUGAAGACAAAUGUUUUGUAAGUACACUAUUGCAUUUGAUUUUUAUUGCUUUAUUUACACUGUUUAACUUGUCAGGUGAAGUAUGGCGUGUUAAUAAUUACAGUUAAAGUUAGUGUUUACUAGGGCUGGGCAUAGAUUAAUCUAAAUUAACCUCGUACAAAAUAAAAGUAUUUUUUUGCAUAA